rnacentral:misc_RNA from 1 species
CUCCUUUAGUGUCGAUUGGUGAAUGGAAGGAUGUUAUUUUGGUCUAGCACGUCCAGAUUAGGUUUGAACAACUCUUAAAAUAACACAAAAUAGGCCAUCACCGAACCGGGCAUCAGGUCAUAUAUACCUUUAUAAGUAUUUGGACCAUUCCUCUCCAAGGCCAUUUGGAAGGUUGGACUUGGAUCACUGACUAGACCCGCC